rnacentral:rRNA from 1 species
GCAAGCCGAGCGGUAUUGUUUCUUCGGAAAUGAGAGAGCGGCGUACGGGUGCGGAACACGUGUGCAACCUGCCUUUAUCUAGAGGAUAGCCUUUCGAAAGGAAGAUUAAUACUCCAUAAUAUAUUGAUUGGCAUCAAUUAAUAUUGAAAGCUCCGGUGGAUAGAGAUGGGCACGCGCAAGAUUAGCUAGUUGGUGAGGUAACGGCUCACCAAGGCGAUGAUCUUUAGGGGGCCUGAGAGGGUGAUC